UCCACCUCGAACUGAAACCUAUGGGUCUCCGCAUCUUGUUCGAAGGAGAUGCCUUAUAGGCAAUCUAAUUUGCAUCCCCACCUGCAACUGAAACUCCGGUGAAACCCAAAUCGUUUUCCAAUGGCACCAGCUUCUGAACGAGACAAACCGAUCAUCUUCACUUCAGUGUUUCUGUGAAAAUCCAGAACACGACCACGUUCUUUGUGUUCUCCGAUAUCAUCUUCCCACACCAUUGCUCUGAAAUUCUAAGCUUCUCCGACGUCGUCCUUCGUCUUCUCCCUAUUCUGAUGAUUCCAUG